rnacentral:lncRNA from 1 species
CACAUUGUCCCUGGGGAAAGAGAGGUGCAGAACCCUUCACUAAUGGCCUGGAAUGUCAAACAGCAAUCACAGCCAUGGACAGCUCUCGGGAACCACUGCACCAUGGAUUUUCCAUCCUGGAAGGCCAAGAUUGAGAGUGUCCUGCUGGUGCCUCAGGGCCUGGCUGAACAGGGCUUGUCAGAGAUCUGGCAGGGAGGAGUCCCGGCAGGGAUAAAGGUGCUCCUCACCUGCUGCAGCCUCACCCAGCGCUGCCCAGAGCGAGAGGAAGAUGAAGGUGGCUGUGCUCAGCGUGGCCCUGCUCUUCUCCAUCCUGCUGUGCUCCCCGGCUCAGGCCCAGACACCCCCGGAAGAAACCCAAGAUGAUCUCCUGGAGGUGGAUUUAGACGAUGUGGACGUGGAUGCGGGUUUGCCUCUGGUGGGUACCACGAGUUCUGCCGGAGUCAGACCCUCCCCUUGCAUGGCCACCAGAGCCCAGGCCAUCCCAGUUUGUCCCAGCCCAGCCCAGUGCACCCCUGGUGUUUCCCCAGAGACCAGCCUGCCCCACAGCUCCUCCCCAGGGAUCCCUUUGCCCAGGCCCCCUUUGCAUUCCCAUCCCUGUCAGCCCAGGACCCCCUGGAUGAGCCAGGACGCAGCCCCUGCCCCAGCUGUGCCCCUUGGCCAGGAGCCCAGUGCUUCUGGGCAGGAGCAGAGCAGCUCCUGCACCCCAUUGCUGCUGCAGCCCCUUCCCCAAGGCCCCCCUGCUCUCCCCUGCCUCCCAGCCCGGCCCAGUGCCCCCAGUGUGUCUCUAACGCUGCCCUUGUCCCCAUUAUUUAGGAAAAGCUGGAGGAACUUCUGCGGAUGAAGCGCGCCGUGGCUGCCUCUCUGAAGGUCUAGGUGAGCCGUGCCUGCAGGGACAGGGCUGGGGACAAAGCCCAUCCAUGGCCCAGCAGGAAACACCAGUGGUCACCUUCUGGGCUUUGUCUUUCAGGGUCAGAAGGAGCAGUGUCCUUUUCCUCUCCAGUGGCAUGAGGAGAUGAUCAUGCCUGGAGGAACCCCUGACCCUUUGAGCCCGGGCCAUUUCCCCUGAAUAAUCAAGCAUCAAUAAUCAAUAAACCCUUUCAGCAUAGCUUUGCUCUGUGUCUGUGUGUGUCCCCUAUCCAGUGGUCCAGGGAAGUCAGGCCAGGUCUGGGCUCUGCUGCCUUGGCACAGCCCGUGCUCUCCCCCAGACAAAUUGUGUGUUGGGAGUUGUGCAGGCUCCAGGGGGAGUGGGUUGAGUAGGUGGGUGGGCGUGCAGGUGCUGAGAAAGGCUGCAGUUCACCAUGAGUGUGGUAGGAAUGGCCUGGGUUGAAAAGGAAAAAAUUAAAUUCAAAACAAGGUUUCCUUUAAAACAUUUUUCCCUUAAAAUUCUUUAUUCACUCCAAAGAAUUUAAUGGCUCAAAAAAAAUCUUUAUAUGUCAAAAGCAUGUUGAAAUUAUUU